rnacentral:rRNA from 1 species
CCUACGGGGGGCAGCAGUGGGGAAUAUUGGGCAAUGGGCGCAAGCCUGACCCAGCAACGCCGCGUGAAGGAAGAAGGCUUUCGGGUUGUAAACUUCUUUUCUGAGGGACGAAGAAAGUGACGGUACCUCAGGAAUAAGCCACGGCUAACUACGUGCCAGCAGCAGCGGUAAUACGUAGGUGGCAAGCGUUAUCCGGAUUUAUUGGGUUGAAAGGUCGUGUAGGCGGGAAAGCAAGGCAGAUGUGAAAACUCAGGGCUCAAACCUGAGCCUGCAUUUGAAACUGUUUAUCUUGAGUGCUGGAGAGGCAAUCGGAAUUCCGUGUGUAGCGGUGAAAUGCGUAGAUAUACGGAGGAACACCAGUGGCGAAGGCAGAUUGCUGGACAGUAACUGACGCUGAGGCGCGAAAGCGUGGGGAGCAAACAGGAUUAGAUACCCUUGUAGUC